rnacentral:misc_RNA from 1 species
UAUUGGCGGCCAUUGUAUGG